GACGAACGCUGGCGGCGCGCCUAACACAUGCAAGUCGAGCGGAGGUAAAUGGAGCUUGCUCUAUGAACCUUAGCAGCGAACGGGUGAGUAACACGUAGAUAAUCUGUCCUAUAUUGGGGGAUAGCCCGAUGAAAGUUGGAUUAAUACCGCAUACAGCUAUAUAGUUGCAUGAUUAUAUAGUGAAAGAUUUAUUGAUAUAGGAGGAGUCUGCGGCACAUUAGCUAGUAGGUGAGGUAAGAGCUUACCUAGGCGACGAUGUGUAGCCGGUCUGAGAGGAUGAACGGCCACAAUGGAACUGAGACACGGUCCAUACUCCUACGGGAGGCAGCAGUGGGGAAUAUUGCACAAUGGGGGAAACCCUGAUGCAGCAACGCCGCGUGAGUGAAGAAGGUUUUCGGAUUGUAAAGCUCUGUUAGCAGGGAAGAGGAAGGACGGUACCUGCAGAGGAAGCCACGGCUAACUACGUGCCAGCAGCCGCGGUAAUACGUAGGUGGCAAGCGUUGUUCGGAAUAACUGGGCGUAAAGGAUGCGUAGGCGGUUAAAUAAGUUAUAUGUUAAAUAUAUAGGCUUAACCUGUAGAAAGCAUAUAAAACUGUUUAACUAGAGUGCAGGAGAGGUAAGUGGAAUUCCUAGUGUAGCGGUGAAAUGCGUAGAGAUUAGGAAGAACACCAGUGGCGAAGGCGACUUACUGGACUGUAACUGACGCUGAGGCAUGAGAGCAUGGGGAGCAAAC
rnacentral:rRNA from 1 species